UACGUAGGGUGCGAGCGUUGUCCGGAAUUAUUGGGCGUAAAGAGCUCGUAGGCGGCCUAUUGCGUCUGCUGUGAAAGCCCGGGGCUUAACCCCGGGUCUGCAGUGGAUACGGGCAGGCUAGAGUUCGGCAGGGGAGACUGGAAUUCCCGGUGUAGUGGUGAAAUGCGUAGAUAUCGGGAGGAACACCAGUGGCGAAGGCGACUACCUGGCCUGUUCUUGACGCUGAGGCGCGAAAGCUAGGGGAGCAAACGGG
rnacentral:rRNA from 1 species